rnacentral:rRNA from 1 species
GAUGAACGCUGGCGGCGUGCCUAAUACAUGCAAGUCGAGCGAACAGACGAGGAGCUUGCUCCUCUGACGUUAGCGGCGGACGGGUGAGUAACACGUGGAUAACCUACCUAUAAGACUGGGAUAACUUCGGGAAACCGGAGCUAAUACCGGAUAAUAUAUUGAACCGCAUGGUUCAAUAGUGAAAGACGGUUUUGCUGUCACUUAUAGAUGGAUCCGCGCCGCAUUAGCUAGUUGGUAAGGUAACGGCUUACCAAGGCGACGAUGCGUAGCCGACCUGAGAGGGUGAUCGGCCACACUGGAACUGAGACACGGUCCAGACUCCUACGGGAGGCAGCAGUGGGGAAUCUUCCGCAAUGGGCGAAAGCCUGACGGAGCAACGCCGCGUGAGUGAUGAAGGUCUUCGGUUCGUAAAACUCUGUUAUUAGGGAAGAACAAAUGUGUAAGUAACUAUGCACGUCUGGACGGUACCUAAUCAGAAAGCCACGGCUAACUACGU